rnacentral:rRNA from 1 species
GAAGCGUGGGGAGCAAACAGGAUUAGAUACCUGGUAGUCCACGCUGUAAACGAUGUCGAUUUGGAGGUUGUUCCCUUGAGGAGUGGCUUCCGGAGCUAACGCGUUAAAUCGACCGCCUGGGGAGUACGGCCGCAAGGUUAAAACUCAAAUGAAUUGACGGGGGCCCGCACAAGCGGUGGAGCAUGUGGUUUAAUUCGAUGCAACGCGAAGAACCUUACCUACUCUUGACAUCCAGAGAAUUUAGCGGAGAUGCUUUAGUGCCUUCGGGAACCCUGAGACAGGUGCUGCAUGGCUGUCGUCAGCUCGUGUUGUGAAAUGUUGGGUUAAGUCCCGCAACGAGCGCAACCCUUAUCCUUUGUUGCCAGCACAUUAUGGUGGGAACUCAAAGGAGACUGCCGGUGAUAAACCGGAGGAAGGUGGGGAUGACGUCAAGUCAUCAUGGCCCUUACGAGUAGGGCUACACACGUGCUACAAUGGCGUAUACAAAGAGAAGCGACCUCGCGAGAGCAAGCGGAACUCAUAAAGUACGUCGUAGUCCGGAUUGGAGUCUGCAACUCGACUCCAUGAAGUCGGAAUCGCUAGUAAUCGUAGAUCAGAAUGCUACGGUGAAUACGUUCCCGGGCCUUGUACACACCGCCCGUCACACCAUGGGAGUGGGUUGCAAAAGAAGUAGGUAGCUUAACCUUCGGGAGGGCGCUUACCACUUUGUGAUUCAUGACUGGGGUGAAGUCGUAACAAGGUAACCA